rnacentral:rRNA from 1 species
AUUGAACGCUGGCGGCAGGCCUAACACAUGCAAGUCGAACGAGUGGCAGACGGGUGAGUAAUGUCUGGGAAACUGCCCGAUGGAGGGGGAUAACUACUGGACACGGUAGCUAAUACCGCAUACCAUCGGAUGUGCCCAGAUGGGAUUAGCUCGUAGGUGGGGUAACGGCUCACCUAGGCGACGAUCCCUAGCUGGUCUGAGAGGAUGACCAGCCACACUGGAACGGAGACACGGUCCAGACUCCUACGGGAGGCAGCAGUGGGGAAUAUUGCACAAUGGGGGAAACCCUGAUGCAGCAACGCCGCGGUCGGUAUGACGGCCUUCGGGUUGUAAAGUACUGUCAGCGAGGAGGCGUUACUCGCAGAAGAAGCACCGGCUAACUACGUGCCAGCCGCCGCGGUAAUUC